rnacentral:miRNA from 1 species
UGCACCCAGGGAUAGGAUAGCG